GACGAACGCUGGCGGCGUGCUUAACACAUGCAAGUCGAACGAAAAGAGGGGAAGAGCUUGCUCUUUUCAGAAUUGAGUGGCAAACGGGUGAGUAACACGUAAACAACCUGCCUUCAGGAUGGGGACAACAGACGGAAACGACUGCUAAUACCGAAUAAGUUCCAAGAGCCGCAUGGCCCAUGGAAGAAAAGGUGGCCUCUACCUGUAAGCUAUCGCCUGAAGAGGGGUUUGCGUCUGAUUAGCUGGUUGGAGGGGUAACGGGCCCACCAAGGCGACGAUCAGUAGCCGGUCUGAGAGGAUGAACGGCCACACUGGAACUGAGACACGGUCCAGACUCCUACGGGAGGCAGCAGUGGGGAAUAUUGCACAAUGGGGGAAACCCUGAUGCAGCGACGCCGCGUGGAGGAAGAAGGUCUUCGGAUUGUAAACUCCUGUGUUNAGGAAGAUAAUGACGGUACUCAACAAGGAAGU
rnacentral:rRNA from 1 species